rnacentral:rRNA from 1 species
GAUGAACGCUGGCGGCGUGCCUAAUACAUGCAAGUCGAGCGAAGCGGGGACGGGUGAGUAACACGUGGAUAACCUCCUAUAAGACUGGGAUAACUUCGGACAACCGGAGCUAAACAGGCUACUUAUAGAUGGAUCCCUGCUGCAUUAGCUAGUUGGUAAGGUAAAGGCGUACAAAGUCAACGAUGCAUAGCCGGCCUGCGCGGUUGAUCUGCCAACUGGUAACGGAGACACGGUCCAGACUCCUACGGUAGUCAUCAGUAGGGAAUCUGCCGCAAUGGGCGAAAGCCUGACGGAGCCACGCCGCGUGAGUGAUGAAGGUCUUCGGAUCGUAAAACUCUGUUAUUAGGGAAGCGGUACCUAAUCAGAAAGCCACGGCUAACUACGUGACAGCAGCCGCGGUAAUUC